rnacentral:rRNA from 1 species
CCCGCACAAGCGGUGGAGUAUGUGGUUUAAUUCGAUGCAACGCGAAGAACUUACCUGGUCUUGACAUCCCGGGAAUCCUUAGGAACUAAGGAGUGCCUUCAUUAGAAGGAGCCUGGAGACAGGUGCUGCAUGGCUGUCGUCAGCUCGUGUCGUGAGAUGUUGGGUUAAGUCCCGCAACGAGCGCAACCCUUGCCUUUAGUUGCCAGCAGUUCGGCUGGGCACUCUAAAGGGACUGCCGGUGUCAAACCGGAGGAAGGUGGGGAUGACGUCAAGUCCUCAUGGCCUUUAUGACCAGGGCUACACACGUACUACAAUGGCCGAUACAAAGGGCAGCGACACUGCGAGGUGAAGCCAAUCCCAUAAAAUCGGUCUCAGUCCGGAUUGGAGUCUGCAACUCGCCCACAUGAAGCUGGAAUCUGUAGUAAUCGUGUCUCAAAAUGGCACGGUGAAUAUGUCCCUGCUCCUU